rnacentral:rRNA from 1 species
GACGAACGCUGGCGGCGUGCUUAACACAUGCAAGUCGAACGAAGUGGCGAACGGGUGAGUAACGCGUAAUCAACCUGCCCUUCAGAGGGGGACAACAGUGGGAAACGACUGCUAAUACCGCAUACUGAAGGAGGGGAGUGCGUCUGAUUAGCUAGUUGGAGGGGUAACGGCCCAACAAGGCGAUGAUCAGUAGCCGGUCUGUGAUGAUGAGCGGCCAAAUUGGGACGUAGAGACGGCCCAGUCUCCUACGGGAGGCGGCAGUGGGGAAUCUUCCGCAAUGGAAGAAAGUCUGACUGAGCAACGCCGCGGGAGUGAUAACGGCCUUCGGGUUGUAAAGCUCUGUUAAUCCGGACGCGGUACCGGAAUAGAAAGCCACGGCUAACUACGUGCCAGCAGCCGCGGUAAUUC